rnacentral:misc_RNA from 1 species
GAUGAAGAACGUAGCGAAAUGCGAUAAGUAGUGUGAAUUGCAGAAUUCAGUGAAUCAUCGAAUCUUUGAACGCACAUUGCGCCCUUUGGUAUUCCUUAGGGCAUGCCUGUUCGAGCGUCAUUUAAACCUUCAAGCUCAGCUUGGUGUUGGGUGACUGUCCGCCGCCUCCGGGCGCGUGGACUCGCCUCAAAAUUAUUGGCGGCCGGUACAUUGGCUUCGAGCGCAGCAGAAACGCGAACUCGGGCCCGUCGUAUUGGCUCCCAGAAGCUAUCUUCACAAUUUUGACCUCGGAUCAGGUAGGGAUACCCGCUGAACUUAAGCAUAUCCAAUAAGCGGAGGA